UCCAUGCACCAAGACAUAG
rnacentral:snRNA from 1 species